GACUCACAACUCGCAACCAUGAUGCAGGCUGGUUCCUUAGUCUUCUCCAUCCUCAUUGUAGGAGUCUUCCUCACAUUAUGUUCUGACCUGCUGGGCAUUCCUGGACAGGCCGAGGGUGGCACGAGCUCCAAACAGCCUGCAAAAUGCCAACUCCCUGCAGAUGCUGGAACCGGCAAUAAAAAACUAAAUGUUUACUACUACAACAUAAAAACCAAGAAGUGCUUGUCGUUCGUUUAUCGUGGUUCUGGAGGCAAUGAAAAUAGAUUCCUAAGGAAAAAAGAUUGUGUCACCACUUGUCAACAAUGAGAAAAAUCACUAAGCGUCAUAAUGCAGACCACAGACUGGAACAUUCAGAGAUCUGUUUCCACGCCACUUGUUCUUUUAGAAUGAAAGCACUUGGGAAAAGUCAGAUGCUUCCCAGUCUACUGUACCAACAUUGGUGAAAAUCUUUGCAUGUUCUUCAAUAAACUCUGUCUGCAUCUCA